GAACAACUAUUGUCUCCCAAGAUGCCGUGUUCGAAGAUGUUCAUUCUCUUCACUCUAGCCGCAGUGUUGGUCAUACAUAAAGUCCACGCUGAGCCCCGUGACGGCACCAGAUGCCCCGCCUACCCGCUGAACCUAGCCUGGGGCUGCGCCUAUCAGGACGCCUGCUUCUCCUUCAGACUCGGCCAGGGCCGGCUGAACUUCCUGGGGCUGGCCGGCUGUCCGGACGGAACUAUCUGCUGUCCGGGACCGUGUGGACAUCGCUGUCUCACACCCGUCUAACUUCGUAUGGCCCAAGACACUCCACCGAGGACAACGCUGUCUUCAGAAGACUCCAGAGGGCACACAAAAUUUUCGACGGACACCCUUAUUUGGAAUAGAUCGAUUCUGCUUGUCUGUCACAAUUAGCCGUUUCUAUUUUUAAACAAACCAUAUACUAUAACUUACCAGGGGAGUUGGUCCGCUAGAGGAGUACAAUUUGUACCUCCUGAACGGUACUAGUUUAGCGGACUGACUCCCC